GGGAGUCCUUUCCUACUCAGCUGUCAUUGAGCCUUCCGGGGAGUUUUCCUCCUGGUAAUUUCUCAGAGCCUAAUAGUGGGCAGAAAAAUCAGAUUUGCUGAGAACAUCUGGGAUUACAGAGAGUGCUGAUGUGGAGAAAGGAAGGGCAUCGUGAUCUUAGAGAAACCCUCCUCUAGAGAAUGAGGAAACCAAGGCAUAUGAGAAGAUGAUCUACCUAAAGUCACAUGAUGAGCUGAUCAACAAGAAUCCUUAGGUGUUUUUCCACAUCAAGU